CUAGGUGGCACAGUUGGAGGGACGUCACUCCACAAGAGGGGGCAAGAGUGGCCUCACUAACUCAACGUCGCCUGUGAAAUGCGCCCACGAUGACCUUUAGCCGGGUGAUUUGGCAACUGCAUUUCCACAAUAAGAUAUUUUUGAGUGAGUUCAUGUGCUGAUACAUCAGUGUUGAACAGGAUAUAAUCCUUGCCUUCAAGGAGCUGAUAAUGGAGCUAUUGUUGGCAUUUCUUAAUUUGCCUCCUCAUCUGUAGAAGGAAAGUGUGAUGCUGAUGAUAUGUUACCAGCAUUUCAAUGCUCAAAUUUGGAAUCCAGGAGCAGAAUAGAAGUUCAACGUAUUAUUUCCUCACUCUGAUUUUACUAGUGUAUCCAUGAUUCUACAGCAAAGAAGCAUUCAGACUACUUGAGGAAGCCACUAUGCAUCGUUCGCUGUUGUAUUUUCUAAAGAAGAAAACUGACACUUAGUUUUGAGCUGAGCUUCCACUCCUCCAGUGAUUAAAAGCAUGGACUCUGGAGCCAGACAUCCUGGAUUCAUGGUCUAGUUCCACCUCUUAUUAGCUGCAUGACUUUGCCAAGUUACUUAAUCUUUCUGUGUUUCGUUUUCUUUAGUAAAGUGCGUUUUAACAGUACCUACUUCAUAGAGCUGUCAUGAGCAUUAAAACAGUUAAAAUACUUAAAGCUUAUAGUAGAGUGUCUAUAAAUAUAAAGAGCUAUAUAAGAUUUUGCUAUUAUUCUUAUACUCAAAUGUUUUACAUAUACCAUUUCUUCAAUUAGAAAUCCUAUUUCUUAAAGUCUUCCUUAGAGCCAGUAUGAUUUCAGAUUUCCCACUACUUUCAGCCUAGUAGAUCAGAGGUUUCUACCGAGCAUGUCCUCUUAAACCUGAGAGAAAAGCAGCACUCCAUACAUCAGAAAGGUUUUAGCAUUUGGUUCUGAUUCCCACAGCACUGUGCUACACUGUGUCACUCAGAACAAAGAUCAUGCUAAACAUAUUUAACCUCCCUUUUCAUUUUUGACAUCUUCAUCACUGCAGCCCAACACCUACCUAAGGUUAUAGCCAGCCUCUGGUGUUGGUGUUUGGAGCUAAUGGCAUAAUCCACAGAACCCAGGAGUUUCCUCCAUGGUAUUUGUGCAAAUCCUGCCAUCUCAAUCUUCUACAGAGCAGUUAACAAUAACUAGAGAAAUUCAAUCAUUGUUUUUCUUUUCAAAAAUUCUAAUGUAAUCCAACGAGCCAGACCCCUAAGAGCUAAGUCUUCAUACUCCACUGAGAAUUCUAUUUGCCAUAAUAUAUCAUAAUGUCUGAAUCAGAGGAGAUACAUUCAAUCAAUCAAGCAUUAUAUGUUCUUCCCCAACUCCACUCCCUUUAUCACCCUGGUAUCUUUCCACUGAGAUUUACCCUAAUGGUCUAUGGUUUCCAUAGAAAAUCAUCUAAACUAUUCUUAAGUCAGUACAGUCAGAAUAUGUCACAGAGAGAAGCACCAUUUUUUGUAAGAGAUAGUGGUACAAAGUUCUUAAAACUUAGAAAUCCUCAUCUGUUCCAGGGAAAAAAUAAUAUGAAAAAAUAAUAUAAGGAUGAGAGUCACAUCCUAUCUCCAGGAUUCUCAUGUGAGCCAUGAAAACUCAGCCUUCUAUGUACAAGUGUAGAGACCUACUACAUACGGUACAUAGCAAGAUUGGAAGCACACUGCAUAUGUCAUCAGUAUUGGGAAGGUACUAUAGCCCAUAUGGCUACAGAGUGAGAGUGAGUGAGGGAAGGCACAGAACACAGGCAUGAACACGCUCCUCAUUGGUCAUCUGUAGCUUCCUAAGCUAAUAAAACCCCAUCCAAGUGUGUUCUUGAACUCAGAGCUGUAGAGUUAGAACAAGAGUUACACGACA